rnacentral:rRNA from 1 species
GUUUUCCUACGGGGGGCAGCAGUGAGGAAUAUUGGUCAAUGGCCGAGAGGCUGAACCAGCCAAGUCGCGUGAGGGAAGACGGCCCUACGGGUUGCAAACCUCUUUUGUCGGGGAGCAAAGAGAGUCACGUGUGACUCAUUGAGAGUACCCGAAGAAAAAGCAUCGGCUAACUACGUGCCAGCAGCCGCGGUAAUACGUAGGGUGCGAGCGUUAAUCGGAAUUACUGGGCGUAAAGGGUGUGCAGGCGGCUGAGUAAGACAGAUGUGAAAUCCCCGGGCUUAACCUGGGAACCGCAUAUGUGACUG